rnacentral:rRNA from 1 species
CCUACGGGUGGCAGCAGUCGAGAAUUAUUCACAAUGGGGGAAACCCUGAUGGUGCGACGCCGCGUGGGGGAAUGAAGGUCUUCGGAUUGUAAACCCCUGUCAUGUGGGAGCAAAUUAAAAAGAUAGUACCACAAGAGGAAGAGACGGCUAACUCUGUGCCAGCAGCCGCGGUAAUACAGAGGUCUCAAGCGUUGUUCGGAAUCACUGGGCGGAAAGCGUGCGUAGGCUGUUUCGUAAGUCGUGUGUGAAAGGUGCGGGCUCAACCCGCGGACUGCACAUGAUACUGCGAGACUAGAGUAAUGGAGGGGGAACCGGAAUGCUCGGUGUAGCAGUGAAAUGCGUAGAUAUCGAGAGGAACACUCGUGGCGAAGGCGGGUUCCUGGACAUUAACUGACGCUGAGGCACGAAGGCCAGGGGAGCGAAAGGGAUUAGAUACCCUAGUAGUC